GCGUCAAAACUGGCGUAUUACGGAAGGUAUGUGUGUUGUUUUUUCCUCUCUUUUUACUUGCCUGAUUUCCAGGGGAGGAUUACUGCAUAACCAUUCUGCUCAACACUACAGCCUCUACCUGUGAAUUCAAUCUACAGUCUUGAGAAUUAUGAUAGUGCAACUAAGAAAAUGGAGUCAUCCGUAACAUUAGUGGAAGUGUGGAGGAUCCAGGCUCAGAGUCACCCGUAACAUUAUUGAGGUCUUUGGCUCUGGCUGUGAUCUUGUGCUCAGUGCUGCCACUGUCCUAUGCUGCCUGUUGGUUUCAACAAGCUGAACCAGGUGAUGGGAUAAAACAGUGUCUUUAUACGAAGGAUGGGACAUGGCACGCUAUCGGUUCCAGGUGGAGGACCAGUGACUGUAUGGACUGCAGUUGUCUAGACAACGGGGAGAUGAGUUGCUGUGACGCGUAUUCAACACCCAAAAGGUUUCCAAGUGAUUGCAUAAUGGAGUUUGACCAGAAGGCCUGUCAGUAUAAUGUGUUCAAGAAGAGUGAUAGCUCCAUUCCAUGUCCCAUCUACAGCAGUGUGGGGAAAUGAUGUGUUCUCUUCUUCUCUGCUCCACAUGAAUGUAAUAUGAAAGUGUGACGUACUGCUGUUGUUCUGUGUGUCACUUCUUAAUAAACAUGAGCAUGAAUGUU